rnacentral:rRNA from 1 species
UGGGGAAUAUUGCACAAUGGGCGCAAGCCUGAUGCAGCCAUGCCGCGUGUAUGAAGAAGGCCUUCGGGUUGUAAAGUACUUUCAGCGGGGAGGAAGGGAGUAAAGUUAAUACCUUUGCUCAUUGACGUUACCCGCAGAAGAAGCACCGGCUAACUCCGUGCCAGCAGCCGCGGUAAUACGGAGGGUGCAAGCGUUAAUCGGAAUUACUGGGCGUAAAGCGCACGCAGGCGGUUUGUUAAGUCAGAUGUGAAAUCCCCGGGCUCAACCUGGGACUGCAUCUGAUACUGGCAAGCUUGAGUCUCGUAGAGGGGGGUAGAAUUCCAGGUGUAGCGGUGAAAUGCGUAGAGAUCUGGAGGAAUACCGGUGGCGAAGGCGGCCCCCUGGACGAAGACUGACGCUCAGGUGCGAAAGCGUGGGGAGCAAACAGG